UGUAUGUAAGUUCCAUUUUUUUUCACUUGGCUUUAAACAGAGGAAUAGGCUUUCCAAGUAAUCUUGCUGUAAAAAUUCUACAUUAAAAAUUGUUUGCUUGAAUGUGUAUUUUUUCAGACUGUCAGAAAAGGAGUAAAUUCAACCCUGUCUGUCUUCAUGUCCCAAGGACAGCCUUAGUUACAUUUUGUUCUCAAUUGUUUAGCUAUGAUAGUAGAUAGUAAAACAGGUAUCUGAUAGAGUAUAUCCUGUAAGAGAGACAGUCAUUUAUAUCGAUUCUCAUGACUUAUGAACAUCAUAACUUCAGUUGAUGUAUAUAUAUACCAGUGACUAGGUAUAUGUAACAAAAUACUGCUCAAAGCACAAAAAAGAGACUUCAGAGUUGAAUUUCAGUGAACAAAAUAGAUUUUGUAGUGGGCUGAAUAGAGAUUUGUUUUUCUAAAGAAUGCUAAUAGUUGUUACAGUAGGAAAAAGAGCAGAAACACUUGCUACUUUAAUAUUAGUGUCCUGUUCUAAAAGGUAAGCCUGUACUUGAAAACUCUCAAGUACAUGAACAAGAAACAGGACUACACAGCCCAGUGCUGCAAAAGUAAAGGACUGGCACAAUAUCUGUCAUUAACAGUAUGCAAAAAGAAGUCACUGAAAUAGCUGUCUGUGAAUGCAGGGAUGCUUCAUCCUGCAUCACCAGAAGUAAAAAUAAAAAGAGAGUUUUUUAUUUAAUUGACUAUAAAUACAGUUAAAGUCCCACAGUCCCAUAGGUUCAGCACCUUCAUCAGGAAAGGCAGAAAAGAAGCUCCAUCUGGUGGUGUGGUUGAUUGUAAUUGCUUUUCAAUUUCAUCUAAUUAUAAAUACAUUCCUCUUCCGCAACAAAAUGAAAAAUUGAAGUAACGUGUAAAAGAUCACCUGUUGUGCAAGUGGAACCAGCAUUGUCUAACACUUUAAGAUCGGAAAACACUCUAAAAUUGGGAUCUUCUUCUAUAUGAAGCAAAUCAGUUGAAGCCUUUCAGUACAAGGCACAAAUGAUCCUGUUAGGGUACUAAUCUAGGAUAGAAACAGAUCAUCAAACAAAAAUGGAAGGGUGCAUUAGCACACUUAAAGAGGUGACCUGCUGCACUCUGGGGUGGGGAGAAGAGAAUGCAGAAAUCACUGGUUAAAGAAUGGAGGAGGUGUGUGGAUAUGAAGUCAAGGUUGCUGCUGAACCUGCCACAUAAAAGCUUAUGGAAUAUUUACAGAGGUAUUAAAAAGAAUGUUGCUGUCUCAUAAUAAGGAAAUAAACCAUUCUUUAGUUAGUAUUUUUUAUAAGAAAUUAAGUUUUCUUCAAUGAGUAAAUGUCAAUUUUGUUGAAAAGAUGCUACUUCCUGUCUUGAAAAAAAAAUCUUGAACUGUUCUAGCUAUAAUUGAUUUGCAACAUCUUACUAUGAAAAACAAAGUAGAUGCUUGAAUCAAUUUAUGUAGUAAAAUGACUAAAUUUUAUGAAGCUGUUUUCUUCUUCUCUGCCUCCACUAUAUUCUUAUUGCCUGAGCUGUGAAAAUUGUAGACAUGGACAAAAUCAAUAAAGGAACCUGGAUGCACAGAACAGCUUAGCAAAAAUAAAAGAUCAGUCUGACCAACACCUAUACUGGCUAUUUGUGAACAAUUGCUGAACAAAAUGCUGGUGGCCAGGUAAAAUAAUUUAACCUAAGCUAAUAAAUAAUUUCAGCUAGUAUUUAAUUGCAAAUAUCUGUGUACAUGCAACAUCUGAGUAAUUUCAGCAGUCACUGCUUUGCAGGGUUGGGAGACACAUUACCCCAAGCUGAUGUUAUAAAAUGUUAUAAGCAUUGUAAAAUAUAAACCUAAUUGGGUAAAUGAUGCUAGGUGUAACCACUGAAAUUCUAUGCCUCGUUUCACAUAUAAACUCAUGUCUGAUACUGCUCCUUCAAGAACCCACGGCAAUUUCUCUCAAGACAGUAUUCUAGCCCACGUUUGUGCUAAAACCCAGCAAUCUUAAACACAGAUAUACAUAAACCUUGUCCUGCAAACUCAGUAAAAAAAAAAAAAAAAUACAGUUUGUCUACUCUUUUGUAGUGCCCACAUUUCAGUGGGCAGUAUGCUGCAUUUCAUCAAAUCAAUGCAUCAUUACCUUUUUUUUAAAGAGCAGAACAGAGUUUAGUAUUAAUUACCCACCAAAAAAAAAAAAAUCCAUGUUGAAAGAAUGAUGGGAAUACAGAUUCAACUAAAAAUUGCCUGAAGUCACACUGCCUUUAUAACCUUAAUGGAGCCCUUUUUUUUUUUUUUUUUUGAGCGUAUCACUUAGGUUACAGCCUUUAAUUAUGCAUUUUAGGCCAUUUUUGUCUCAAGACUAUCUCAUUAAGCACACAAGAUAGACAGCUACUCAGUGGUGUUGUCACUGCUUUUCUCUAUACUGCUUGAAGUGUAGCUGUAGGCCUUACUUACUGAACAGUAUUCCAGUCCUGCUCCAGAGAUGUGACUGGAUUUCCUCACAGGAUCUCAAAUUGUGCUCAGCACCACAGUAUCUUCAAGUGCCUCCAAAAUAGUAGACUACUAUGAGAUGAAGUAUUCCUGAUUUUACCAUUAGAGAGCUGAGCUGCAGAAAGGCCAAGCAGAAGGACUCAACUCACUUCAGUUUGAAAAUACUUCACAAAGAAGCCACUCCUUGUAAGGAGUUCAAAAACAAUUCAGUUGAAAGAAGAAAGUUUGUUUCCAAAACAAAGAUGUUCUUGAAGAA